UUCUAGUUUUUUAAUUAGUAAAUUCUGCUCAAUGACAAUAGAAUAAAUAGCCGCAGAAUUUUAACUGUGCUAAGGUAGCAUAAUCAUUUGUUCUAUAAUAGAGAACUGGGAUGAAAGAAUUAACAACAUUUCGACUUUUUGGGUUUAUUUUUAGAAAUUGAUAUCUAUAUUAAAAAGUAUAGCUGAAUUAAAAAGACGAUAAGACCCUAUAAAACUUUAUUAUUAGUUAAAUUUUAAAAACAGGAAUAAAGAUUUAGGUUAUAAUUAAGCUGGGGCGGUAAUUAUAAAACAUUAAGAAAUAGAACAGAAAUUUAUGAAAAGUUAUAUCUUUAAGAGAUUUAGAGUUACUUUAGGGAUAACAGCGUAAUUUUAUAUAAUAGUAUCAGUGUUAUUUAAAGACUUACGACCUCGAUGUUGAAUUGAGGGGCCAUUUUGUAUAAAAUUUGGAGGUCUGUUCGACCUUUAAUUCCUC
rnacentral:rRNA from 1 species